rnacentral:rRNA from 1 species
AUUGAACGCUGGCGGCAUGCCUUACACAUGCAAGUCGAACGGCAGCGGACCUUCGGGUGCCGGCGAGUGGCGAACGGGUGAGUAAUAUAUCGGAACGUACCUUUCAGUGGGGGAUAACGUAGCGAAAGUUACGCUAAUACCGCAUAUUCUGUGAGCAGGAAAGCAGGGGAUCGCAAGACCUUGCGCUGAUUGAGCGGCCGAUAUCAGAUUAGCUAGUUGGUGAGGUAAGGGCUCACCAAGGCGACGAUCUGUAGCGGGUCUGAGAGGAUGAUCCGCCACACUGGAACUGAGACACGGUCCAGACUCCUACGGGAGGCAGCAGUGGGGAAUUUUGGACAAUGGGCGCAAGCCUGAUCCAGCCAUGCCGCGUGAGUGAAGAAGGCCUCGGUUGUAAG